GCAACUUCCCAUGAGUAGAGUGGCAGACGGGUGAGUAACACGUGGGUAACCUACCCUAGAGUGAGGAAUAACCCCGCGAAAGCGGGGCUAAUACCGCAUAACAUCCCUGGAACUCAAGUUUUGGGGAUCAAAGCUCGCAAGAGCGCUCAAGGAGGGGCCCGCGCCUGAUUAGCUAGUUGGUAGGGUAACGGCCUACCAAGGCUUCGAUCAGUAGCCGGCCUGAGAGGGCGAACGGCCACACUGGAACUGAGACACGGUCCAGACUCCUACGGGAGGCAGCAGUGGGGAAUUUUGCGCAAUGGGCGAAAGCCUGACGCAGCAACGCCGCGUGGGUGAUGAAGUCCCUUGGGAUGUAAAACCCUGUCAGCUGGGACGAAACGGCCCGCAAGGGCAAUUGACUGUACCAGCAGAGGAAGCCCCGGCUAACUCCGUGCCAGCAGCCGCGGUAAUACGGGGGGGGCAAGCGUUGUUCGGAAUUACUGGGCGUAAAGGGCGUGUAGGCGGCCUAGCAAGUCAGCUGUGAAAUCCCCAGGCUCAACCUGGGAAUUGCGUCUGAAACUGCCGGGCUAGAGUUCAGGAGAGGAGGGCGGAACUCCCAGUGUAGCGGUGAAAUGCGUAGAUAUUGGGAGGAACACCGGUGGCGAAGGCGGCUCUCUGGACUGA
rnacentral:rRNA from 1 species